rnacentral:rRNA from 1 species
AGUGAACGCUGGCGGUAGGCCUAACACAUGCAAGUCGAACGGCAGCACAGUAAGAGCUUGCUCUUACGGGUGGCGAGUGGCGGACGGGUGAGGAAUACAUCGGAAUCUACUUUUUCGUGGGGGAUAACGUAGGGAAACUUACGCUAAUACCGCAUACGACCUACGGGUGAAAGCAGGGGAUCUUCGGACCUUGCGCGAUUGAAUGAGCCGAUGUCGGAUUAGCUAGUUGGCGGGGUAAAGGCCCACCAAGGCGACGAUCCGUAGCUGGUCUGAGAGGAUGGUCAGCCACACUGGAACUGAGACACGGUCAAGGCUCCUACGGGAGGCAGCAGUGGGGAAUAUUGGACAAUGGGCGCAAGCCUGAUACAGCCAUACCGAGUGGGUGAAGAAGGCCUUCGGGUUGUAAAGCCCUUUUGUUGGGAAAGAAAAGCAGCAGGUUAAUACCCCGCUGUUCUGACGGUACCCAAAGAAUAAGCACCGGCUAACUUCGUG